GUGAAGGCCCUGAAAGGGCUGUACGGUAACCGGGACCUGACCACACGCCUGGAGCUCUUCACCAGCCGCUUCAAGGACCGGAUGGUUUCCAUGGUCAUGGACAGAGAGUAUGAUGUGGCAGUGGAGGCUGUCAGAUUACUGAUACUUAUCCUUAAGAACAUGGAAGGGGUGCUGACGGACGCGGACUGUGAGAGCGUCUACCCCGUUGUGUAUGCCUCUCAUCGAGGCCUGGCCUCUGCCGCAGGCGAAUUUCUGUACUGGAAACUCUUCUACCCUGAGUGCGAGAUAAGAAUGAUGGGUGGAAGAGAGCAACGCCAGAGCCCAGGCGCCCAGAGGACUUUCUUCCAGCUUCUGCUGUCCUUCUUUGUGGAGAGCGAGCUCCAUGACCACGCUGCUUACUUAGUAGACAGUCUGUGGGACUGUGCAGGGGCUCGGCUGAAGGACUGGGAGGGUCUGACAAGCCUGCUGCUGGAGAAGGACCAGAGUACGUGUCACACGGAGCCAGGGACAGGGACCUUCCACCCCCUAGGGUGAAACUGGGAGGGAUUGCUUGCUUCACUUGUACAAGGCAGCAACGGUGGCAUCGGGUGGGGGGAACUUGGAGUUGGAAGGUGGCUAAUCUUUGAUUCUAUGUUUUUGAUCCUCCUGGCACUCCAGACCUGGGUGAUGUGCAGGAGAGCACACUGAUAGAAAUCCUUGUGUCCAGUGCCCGGCAAGCU
rnacentral:sRNA from 1 species